GCUGGGCAUGGUGGCGCGUGCCUGUAAUCCCAGCUACUCGGAAGCUGAAGCAGGAGAAUCGCUUGAACCCAGGAGAUGGGAGGUUGCAGUGAGCCAAGACAGUGCCACUGCACUCCAGUCUGGGUGACAGAGCAAGACUCCGUCUCAA
ensembl:misc_RNA Metazoa_SRP Metazoan signal recognition particle RNA